rnacentral:rRNA from 1 species
GAUGAACGCUGGCGGCGUGCCUAAUACAUGCAAGUCGAGCGAACAGACGAUGAGCUUGCUCCUUUCACGUUUGCCGCGGGCGGGUGUGUAACACGUGUAUCACCUCCUUAUCAUACUGGUAUAAUUUCGGAACACGGGAUCAAAUCCCGGAUAAUAUAUUGAUCCGCGUGGUGCAUUGGAGAAUGUCGGCUUUGCUGUCUGUUCUAGAUGCAUCCCAGCCGCAUUAGCUAGUUGGUAAGGUAACGGCUUACCAAGGCGACGAGGCGUAGCCGACCUGAGAGGGUGAUAGGCGACACGAGAACGGAGACACGGUCCAGGCUACUACGGGAGGCAGCAGUAGGGAAUCUUCCGCAGUAGGCGAAAGCCUUACGGAGCAACGCCGCGUGAGUGAUGAAGGUCUUCGGAUCGGAAAACUCUGUUAUUAGGGAAGAACAAAUGUGUAAGUAACUAUGCACGUCUUGACGGUAACUAAUCAGAAAGCCACGGCUAACUACGUG